UGUUUAGCACAGAGAAUAAUGCUCUGAACAUACAUUGUGAAAUAGUAGGUGUUUCACCUACAAUUACAAAAUAAUAAUAACUGCAGAAAA
rnacentral:ribozyme from 1 species